UUCCAAAGUGCUCAAGUGAUAUAUGUGAGAAGAAGGAUGAUCUGAUGCGCAUGGACAAGGUUUGAAAACUCAAACCUUGAGUGAAUGCGUAAGAUCAAUGUCUGCUUACUAAGGAAUGUUCCAGUCAAGACUAGAAAGACUAGUCAUGUUUGAGUUAAUGCAACAAACAAAGUAUUCAAGAUAUUAAUGAAGAGUGAAUAUAAUGAUCAAGGUAAAUAUAAUAAAUGAAGAGCAAGAAGAAUGUUUGAGAGAGUAAGUGAAGUAAACUGGAAUAUUGCUAGAUAUGUUUGAAUGAUCCGGCUACUGAUUUAACAUUGAAUGCUCCUAUAAAUAGGAGUUACAUCUGACACUCUGAAUAUUCAUGUUUGACAAAAGAGACUAAUUCCUAUGACAAGUUAAAUCAAGCUAAAAGACAAAUAUAGUAAAUGCUCUUGAACAAAAUAGUUAUUCAGACAAGGUGACAUUCCUGACAUAACAUCCAUUCUAGAAUGCCUUCAUAUAGUUCCGAACAUCUUCUCCUCUUCUGGAUAUCUUCAUAUUCCGAAGAUCUUCACUUCCGGAGCAACACUUCAAGUCCGGAC
rnacentral:lncRNA from 1 species